GAUAAUAAUUGGCAUCGUGUUACGGUUGAAUAGUGACGUAGACGUAGUGACGUGGCUUAGUGAAGUAGAUUUUUUGCAAAGAUUUUUGGUAUAGUGAUUUCUCACUUCGACUUCAUCUGAAUUUUGAUAAAGGAAACCUCGGCCGCUUUUCUCGUUUCUAUCGUUAUUCAGUCAUCUCAUCUGCUAUUGCCUGGAUAAUUGGUGUGUCGAGAAAAUCCAUAAAAAUGUACGGAUUUUUAUGAUAUUUACUAUACAAGAAUCGACAACCACCAAGUUAAUGCCAAUGAGCAAUGGAUGCCGACUUCCGUAAUUAUCUGCUGGUGUUAUUCUAAUUGUAUCAAAGAUAAAGGUGGAUCACGAGAUGCGUUCAGCCUGUACGGGACGGUUACAAUGAUUGUUGGUUCUUUCAUUAAAAGUGUAUAUACUGCCAGCUGCUCUCCGAGGAACCUGGCCAGAUAAGUUACAUAAGGAUCUGUUCCUGAAAUCCCAAGUUUCAAGCUUCAACUUGCUUGCUCUUCCCGAGCAGUUCGGAAAGUUUCUUCGGAAAAUCCAGUCCAGAAGAUCCCAAAGGAAUCGAAUUUAACAUGGAGAUCAAUAUCGGUGGUCAAGAUAUCUUGCCUACACGUUUUAUGCCAAUACCUUCAAAAUUCAAAGUGUACAUAAUAGACGGAGUUGAAAAUCGUAUGGAGAUAUUGACAGCUUUUAUAAGGAAAACUAUAUUUAGCAGCAAUGUCAUUCAAAACGCACUUUGUAGGGAUGCAGUUAAAUCUGAUAUUGAUCCCGAGAGAAUUCGAGGCCAUCCUCCGAAACUAAAGGACUUUUGUACACUCCAGGCUGUCAUGGAUGAUGCACUGAUGCUCCACCAAUCUGCUCACUUUAUGAGUGGGAAGUCUAUAACCGUGAACUACCCGAGUGGCUGUUAUCAUCGUCACCAAUAAUCAACACGCGCGAUGAUUCCCUAUGCUGCUUCUUGUAGCAUACAAUGCACCCACGAAUUUGGACAAUGCUCUCUGCAUUGGAAAACGUAUUUUAUGAAAGUACUCCAGAAGUGACCUGCGCAAAGCAUCUCUUCUAAAUCUGUCGUUUUUAAAUGGGAUUGUAGGAAGAUUGUGAACAGUAACUCCUUUUGUAAUAACAAUUUCUCAAAUAUGGGCUAGA